rnacentral:rRNA from 1 species
CUGGCUCAGGAUGAACGCUGGCGGCGUGCCUAACACAUGCAAGUCGAACGGAUCCAUAUUGAAACCUAGUGAUGUAUGGAUUAGUGGCGGACGGGUGAGUAACGCGUGGAUAACCUACCGUAUACAGGGGGAUAACACUUAGAAAUAGGUGCUAAUACCGCAUAAGCGCACGGUUCCGCAUGGAACAGUGUGAAAAACUCCGGUGGUAUACGAUGGAUCCGCGUCUGAUUAGCCAGUUGGCGGGGUAACGGCCCACCAAAGCGACGAUCAGUAGCCGGCCUGAGAGGGUGAACGGCCACAUUGGGACUGAGACACGGCCCAAACUCCUACGGGAGGCAGCAGUGGGGAAUAUUGCACAAUGGGGGAAACCCUGAUGCAGCGACGCCGCGUGAGUGAAGAAGUAUUUCGGUACGUAAAGCUCUAUCAGCAGGGAAGAAAAACCGGCCUUAGGGCCGCCAGACGGUACCUGACCAAGAAGCCCCGGCUAACUACGUGCCAGCAGCCGCGGUAAUACGUAGGGGGCAAGCGUUAUCCGGAUUUACUGGGUGUAAAGGGAGCGCAGACGGCAGCGCAAGUCUGGAGUGAAAUGCCGGGGCCCAACCCCGGAACUGCUUUGGAAACUGUGCAGCUCGAGUGCANGAGAGGUAAGC